GAUGAACGCUGGCGGCGUGCCUAAUACAUGCAAGUCGAGCGAACGGACGAGAAGCUUUCUUCUCUGAUGUUAGCGGCGGACGGGUGAGUAACACGUGGAUAACCUACCUAUAAGACUGGGAUAACUUCGGGAAACCGGAGCUAAUACCGGAUGAUAUUUUGAACCGCAUGGUUCAAAAGUGAAAGACGGUCUUGCUGUCACUUAUAGAUGGAUCCGCGCUGCAUUAGCUAGUUGGUAAGGUAACGGCUUACCAAGGCAACGAUGCAUAGCCGACCUGAGAGGGUGAUCGGCCACACUGGAACUGAGACACGGUCCAGACUCCUACGGGAGGCAGCAGUAGGGAAUCUUCCGCAAUGGGCGAAAGCCUGACGGAGCAACGCCGCGUGAGUGAUGAAGGUCUUCGGAUCGUAAAACUCUGUUAUUAGGGAAGAACAUAUGUGUAAGUAACUGUGCACAUCUUGACGGUACCUAAUCAGAAAGCCACGGCUAACUACGUG
rnacentral:rRNA from 1 species